UCUUGCCCCUGGGUUGUCCUGCAUGCCGCUGAACCAACGGGGAAGACAAGGAGGAAGUGGCUUACCACCUCAAGGGGCUUCAGGAAGCACCAAGGUUGAGUCCAUUUCUGGGCCCAGUUCAAAGAGCCACCAUUAACCCAUUAACCUUUAACAGCUUGGGACAAGGUGACCUGAAGGACUGUCUCUGCCAUAUAUACUUACCCGGACAUCAAUAUCUUCUGAGGUCCUUCUCAGGGUCUCCCCAACAAAUAAGG